GAUGAACGCUGGCGGCGUGCCUAAUACAUGCAAGUCGAGCGAACAGACGAGGAGCUUGCUCCUUUGACGUUAGCGGCGGACGGGUGAGUAACACGUGGGUAACCUACCUAUAAGACUGGGAUAACUUCGGGAAACCGGAGCUAAUACCGGAUAAUAUUUCGAACCGCAUGGUUCGAUAGUGAAAGAUGGCUUUGCUAUCACUUAUAGAUGGACCUGCGCCGUAUUAGCUAGUUGGUAAGGUAACGGCUUACCAAGGCAACUAUACGUAGCCGACCUGGGAGGGUGAUCGGCCACACUGGAACUGAGCCACGGUCCAGACUCCUACGGGAGGCAGCAGUAGGGAAUCUUCCGCAAUGGGCGAAAGCCUGACGGAGCAACGCCGCGUGAGUGAUGAAGGUCUUCGGAUCGUAAAACUCUGUUAUUAGGGAAGAACAAACGUGUAAGUAACUGUGCACGUCUUGACGGUACCUAAUCAGAAAGCCACGGCUAACUACGUG
rnacentral:rRNA from 1 species